AUGUGGAUCCAAAAUCCUAAUGGUGGCAGCAGCAGUGGCUUUGGCAGCUGUGGACUGAAUACAAGCAACAGAAUCACCGUGAUUCUUCAGAGUAUCUUCAGGUUCUCUUCUGUCAUUCAAGCAGCAGUCUCAGUCCAUUUGUGGAGGAACGUUGGUGUUAACAGCAGGGGCAUUUAAUAAGGAACUUGAUCCUACACAGAAACUCUUCGUGGACAAGAGCAGAGAAUACAGAUCUUAGCGACAGGCAACUGGGGGACCUGUCGAUACUGGCCCAGAAUACCAGCAAGAGCUGGAGAGGGAGCAUUUUAAGCUUAAGCAAAUGUAUGGUAAAUCAGAUAUGAAUACGUUCCCUAACUUCAUAUUUGAAGAGCCCAAAUUUGAAAUCAUUGGAAAACCCCAGGCCUAAAGAAAUAAAGUAAAAUUAAUCUGGUCAUUUGUCAUGGAUUAGUUGUACAACUAACCAGAAGUUUUAGAAUAAACAUAUAUUUCACAACUG